ensembl:lncRNA
CAUGAAUAAUAUAUCUGCUUGUGGUGGCGAGGCCUGGCUAGUGGUUGGCUGACAGGAAGAUUGAUGCCGCGGCCCAGAUAGCAUCUCUCCAUUGAGGGGACGCUGUUGACUGCGACGCUGCCCAUAUUCAUUAGGCCACCGUCGUCGGCUUCUGAGCGUAACGACACACUUAUGUAUAAUUUACGGGCACAUCCAGAGGCUGAGGCGGCAAACAUGAUGCAAUGGGACAAAACAGGCCUUUUUUGGCACCAGGCGUCUGCAGUUUAGCUUUACAGUGUGUUCCCAUGUAGAGGCCGAUGGAUUACUCGCAGUGUGCAUUUCUCUGGUGCUUUUAUUUGAAUCAUCUUCUCUCUGAAGUGUAGCUGAAUUUGUGAAGUGAAGCAGGCAGCAGUAGAGUCCUUUGUAUCCAGUGAAGUUGGUUAAAAAAGCUGGCAUUUUUUUGAGCCCCACCUGUUUGGAAUACAGUGUUUUUAAAUGGUAUCAUUUACUUAAAUGUUUUGUCUAAAUGGACUGCCAAUGUUUUCAGUAAUGCCAUGUUUCUUUUUCUAUUUGGAGUUUGAUCAUUGUUUGUUCACUUUGUGCCGUCUUAAGAUUAUUCUCCUUUUCUUAUUCUUCUUUUCCCUUUUAAACUAUUUAUUAAUUUUCCAUCUGUUAUUGAUUUGGUGAUUUGCUGUUGGUGUGGUGCGUGUCGCGUUGUAUACCAUUGUGUCUUGUAUUGUCCAUUUUUUUUAUUCGUAGGUGUUGGGGUGGGACGUCCUUGAAAAUGAGAAGAUACACAUUUCAAACAUGACAUCUGUCUUCAAAGGCACAAAAGUGUGUUGGGUCACAUGGUUGGAACUGUGUACUACAUGUGCAGGUGUAACACAAGCUUUAGACCUUGUGUGUGUGUGUGUGUGUGUGUGUGUGUGUGUGUGUGUGUGCUCCUGCGCGUGUCCACACAGACUGCGUGCACCCUGAUCCGGUCCGGCCCGGUGCCAGCUUGAUCGCGUUGGCGGUUGGAGCUGCUGCUAAGCGCUGGUGAAUCACGCCCGAGCAGGUUACCUUGCCGUAUAGCUGCCGGGGAAGCGGAGCAGCGACGGCUGCGUCCACCUCGCUGCCGCUGACCUUGGAGGUCACUCGCCAGGAAGGAGACAUUCAUCACUCUGACACUUCUGGGGGAAAGUGGAUG